rnacentral:piRNA from 1 species
UCUUUAUUCAGAAAUAAGGAAACCAGAAAU